rnacentral:miRNA from 1 species
UAAAAUAACCAAUCUUAAAAGUACUUUUAAGAUCGGUUAAUUUUAACCGAUGUUAAAAGUACUUUUAAGAUCGGUUAAUUUU